CUCUAGAGCCCAAAGGCAAUAACGGCUAAGGCUGCAAAACAGCAAAGCCGGCAGCCUGCCCCUCCCUCUGGGAGCUCCAUCUCAGGCGGAGGUAAAGCUGCUACCUGUGGCUGGCCAGAGUUCUAAGCCAGUGGAUCUUAUCCUGUGAGAUGCCAUGGAAGUGCGGCCUACCGCCUGUGGCUGCUCAGCCCCUGGAUUCAGCCCCUUUCCUAGGAGUAUGUAUGGGGGUCCAACCUCCUGAUUUGCCAGAGUUGCAGCCACUUUUCCUGGGAAGCCCAGGUAUCUAAAGCUCCUGUGGUUCCAUGUGAACCUAAGAGGCCUCUCUUCCAAGACUCUACAUAUCUCUACAUGUCAGACUGAAGGUCCUGGUGGAGUGGAUUCACGAGGGGAUCUCCUGACCUGGGGUUGCAAAGAUCUGUGGGAGAAGCAUGGGUCCCCGGAUCGCUCACUCACUCACCGCUUCCCUGGGUAGGGGACGCUCCUCUAGAUCCAUGUUGCUCCCAGGUCCCUGUUCAGACCUGGGCUAUGGCAUGAAAAGCAUGGUGUCCACUGUUUCGUAUCCAUUUGCUCAUUUGGUCAGUUGUAAGGUGCAGCGCAACUGCUGGGAAGGUGGAACUGGAGAUGCAGGCAGUCCUCCCUGGAGCCCCAAAGAGCAAGUAGCUAGGCUGAGAGGCUAAAAAGAAUGAAAGGUAUUGGCAAUGCACUUUUGUUCAUCAUGUCUCUCCCCUGAGUAUAUGUACUCCAAUCACACAAGGUACAGUGGAAGUUGAGGUGGAAACAAAAGUUUCAGAAGCUCUGAAUUCCUCAUUGAAUCAUGUGCUGCCUGAGUGAGACAUACAAGGAGAUAUGCUUAAUGACCCCGGCACUGUAGUAUGACACUGAAUGGUUUAUCAGCACCCUGGAAAUCAGGGCAUUCAUGCCAAGAAAAGGCACAUUGCCUGUGUGUUUCUCUAUUGAGACACAGAAUAAUUCAGAGAGGAGAGAGACACUGUUUAUAUUAAAAAUGCUUUAUUUGGGUAGCUUUUUUGAAAGGAAGAUAAUGGAGUGCUUCCAGGUCUUAAUUUUUGUUGUUGUUUGUUUUUCUUUUUCCUGUGGUAAAUUGCACAUAAUAUAAAAUUCUUGUUUUUAGAAAUAAUUUGAAAUCAAUUCCAAGCUACAAUCUCUGCCUCUCUUGCUCCCCCACCAUGGGGAAUAGAGGUGGGAAGCACAGAGCAUCUUCCACUUUCCUUUCCAGAUUACAGCAAAAUGUCAAGAAGUGGUAAAGGAGGGCUGGAGGCACAAGAACAUUUACAUCUCACGCUGCUGACAGGCAGCCAGCUGGUGAUGGUGCCUCAGAGCAGCCAUGCAGAGAGAAAACCACCUCAGAGCAUGGGAGGCUGGUGGGAUCACAGGCCACCAUGCUCCUGGCAAGGAUGCGAUGAGAAUAGUGGAUUUGGAGAACAGCAAAUCCGCCACCUUGAAUAUCACUGACAGAACUCUGCAAAUAGACAUUGAAUAAACUUGGAGAAGAGGGUCAUGUGGAUCCUUCCAAAACACUUUCUCCAUGUGAUUUUCCUGAAGAGGAAUUAGCCAAAGAAGAUAAGGACCUGGAUCUCCCACACAACUGAGACAAUGCACAGGCAUACAAAAUUGGGGUUAAUAAGGGUGAGUUAUCCCAAAAAAAUACGGUAGCCUGCUCAGACAAGCACUCUGGUUGAGGGUAUCAAGUUUGUAUUCUUAAUUCCUGGAAUGUUGUCAAUUAAUGUCAAGUAAUCACCAAAUAAAAUCUGAGUCAACUGGAACAGAGA
rnacentral:lncRNA from 1 species